rnacentral:rRNA from 1 species
CCUACGGGGGGCAGCAGUCGGGAAUAUUGGACAAUGGGCGAAAGCCUGAUCCAGCCAUGCCGCGUGUGUGAAGAAGGCCUUCGGGUUGUAAAGCACUUUCAGUGGGGAAGAAAGCCUUGGGGCUAAUACCCUCGAGGAAGGACAUCACCCACAGAAGAAGCACCGGCUAACUCCGUGCCAGCAGCCGCGGUAAUACGGAGGGUGCGAGCGUUAAUCGGAAUUACUGGGCGUAAAGCGCGCGUAGGCGGUCUGAUAAGCCGGUUGUGAAAGCCCCGGGCUCAACCUGGGAACGGCAUCCGGAACUGUCAGGCUAGAGUGCAGGAGAGGAAGGUAGAAUUCCCGGUGUAGCGGUGAAAUGCGUAGAGAUCGGGAGGAAUACCAGUGGCGAAGGCGGCCUUCUGGACUGACACUGACGCUGAGGUGCGAAAGCGUGGGUAGCAAACAGGAUUAGAUACCCCAGUAGUC